rnacentral:lncRNA from 1 species
GGAGGAAGGAUAAAGCAAUAAAGUGUGCUGCGUUGCCACGCACUGGGAGUCCUUGUUUGAGCCGCAACACCACGAGCCUCUGACCCAGAGGACCCCCUCCUGGCUCGCACAGGUUCACCAGUCGAGAGCUGCUCCAGCCGUGACGGUGGCUCUGACAAUAGUUGGCUCAGGAUACGAAGCAGCCAGAGCAAGGCAAAAGACGCUGAUCGCCCAGGACUAGCAAACCAGGUCCUCAAUGCCUGGCACCUAUGCAAGCCACGUGCGACCCCCGGUUCUAACCUGCGUGCGGACCGGAGCAUGAUCUGUGCCCAGUUGGAGGCUGCCAAGGAAUUGAUGCGCAUACACGUGGUGGUUCAUUAUGCUGCUGCACCUGUGUAGUGUGAAGGUCAGUGUGCUUUUCUGAUUAUAAGAAACCAUCCAUGUCAUUCCAUUAUAAUCCCUUCCACUCAUAAUGGAAUGUGCCUGAGCCCAGGAAUUAUUGACAUUGCCCAGCCCAGAAUUUCCUCAAGUGCAGUCUCAAUAUUUGAGAUCCAUCACUCACCCUGCCAUGCCCUGCAUCUCCCAAGAACCCCACUGUGAUCCUUUUUGAAAUGAUGUUAUUUGCAUGUCAAGUCCUUCUUGUGUGAUAUGUAUGUACCAUCGUUACAAGUAAAUUUUUAUGUGGAAUCAAUUGUUCUGUGGUGGUCCUUCGAAAGUUAUAUUCAAGAGCUUCUCUAGGCCUUAGAUAAUUAUGAAACAGUCAACAUGGGUACUUUCUAUGUGUCUUGGGGUAAGAACAAUGCAAUUUCUUCACUCGGAGUCAGGGACUCUGGGAGAAUAUGGGGCAAUUAGAAUGGCCCUCUUGCUCUCCUUUUUUAGGAGUCUUCGUGGAAGAUGCUUUCAACUGACUUCUCUCAGAAUCCCUGUCAAAUCCCCCCCCACCUCCUUUUUCCACAUCAUUGUUACUAAACUCCCUUCCCAGAGAGAGACUAACCAAUAUUUGUCUCUUCUCCUAAGGCCCCAAUGACAAACUCAAGUAUGAUUUUGCAAAACUUAACUCUGAGGAACCAAUGAAUUUGUAAGGCUUCCUUACAGAACUUAGGUGAGGAGUUAUUUACAGGAGGGUGGGCACUUCCCCCAUCCCAACAGGGUGCACCUGAAAAGCCUUAUGCAGCACAGAUGAGAGCCUCCCCUUAUCGGCCUAGAUGGAACCUGACUCCUCUAAUCUUUAUGGCCUCUAUAGACUCUGGCCCUCUCCUAGGUCACUUGAGUUGCCAAAUAAGGGACAGCUGGAUAUUCAGGUGGGACUUUUGUGGCCCACUCUGCCCAUUUCUGCUGAGGUUUAAACCAUCAAUAAGAAUGGCUGGAAUGAUCUCUUACAAGUCAGAGAGGUACAGCCGAAUUCCCCCAAGAUAGUGGUUGCUUGGCUCAGAGGGUUGUCACUCUAGAUAGCCAUUUACUUGUAGAACUCACCCUAGUUUUCAGGAACUGCAGCUCACACUUUCUAGGCACUACUGUGUCAUAAUUUGCACGUUUUCCCUGUGAGCUUAUUUCCUACAAGGCAAAUGAGAUGAUUGUUCCUGUUUCAUAUGAGAAGGAGCUGAGCUUCUCAGGCUGGAAUGGAUGCUGCAAAGUCUCAGUUGGUGAGUGAAAAGCAGAGCUUCAAGUAUGUCCCACAUGUCUGAGCAGGAAUCCCUAACUACUGGGUCCUUGAAUUGCUUUGGGAAUAGUUCCACACUCAGGCACUAAGUGAAACUUCAUUUAAUAAACAUAUAAAUUCCUACAUUGCAUAGUGCUGUGGAAAUUUAUUAAGCACAGCAUUUGAAUAUUUAGCUAGUUCUUGAAUUAACUGUGAAAGAAUAAGAAAGCUCCUUGAUGUUCACUGUGUGUUGGUUUGUGAUGCUAGGAGGAAUACGAGGCACACAGAUAGCUUUCUUCUGCCAUAAGAACAUUGCUGUUAUCUCAUACACAGGGCUGCCUUCUUCAUUAGAAAGCUAUGACUAACACAUUUAUAGAAUGAACAUAUUAUGUAUUAGGUUUAGGAAGCUCUGAAUUUGCAUUUAACUCUGUACUACUAAACAUCCAGGGUCAGGCUUAGCAUAGUAACUCUAAGUACCCAUCUCCUUUCUUAUUGAGAAUAUUCAUUAUCCCUGCUCCUUCACUUAGCAUUCCUCCCCCAGAACUCCUUCCUUUAGGAAGAGAUUAACUUUGACUAAAUCUCCGCCAUUACACAACACACCAAUAUUUUUAGUCUACUCCCCCCCCCACACACACACCCCAAGCUAUGCACUUCUUUGGCUGCAAAAAGCUACAAAGAGAAUCCUUUAAAAGCACCAAAUGGCAUCUUUGACAUGUUUCCCCUGUUAGACGGUAUUCAAAUUGGUUCCCACCAUCUUAGUUUUGGUAUCAUUAGGUAUGUGGUGGUGUGGAGAGGGCUGCUCCCAGGAUUAGGAUGCUUGGCUAAGCUUAACCUGUGGAGGCUACUUUAAAACUUCUAUUGUGAAGUAAAAAGAACCUGAGUUAGUUUAACAAUUUCAAUUUAUGUGACCACUUAUUUAUAAGGCAACUAGGUACC